CAUCCAUCAUCUAAGUCAGCCUGUGGUGAUGCAAACAUCUAUUCUCCCCACAUUGCUGUAAUUGCUAUCACAUUGCUGUAACAUUUCUACUUUGAAAACUGCUCAGAGUUCAGCCAUUAAAGAGAUGCUUCACUUGAUACCAACCAAAGGAUGAACUGCAUGAUUUCAGAAAUAGAGAAAAAGAAGCUACUACCUUUGCAGUGAUGAAUUACUCUUCCCCACAGUCUGUUCCUACUUAAGCAGGACAGAUUCCCAAUGAUCAACAGAUGUCUCCUUGCUCUUGUCAGCGCAACGUUCAUUCGCUUUUCCGAGUCUAUGAACCCCAUCUGCCUUGUUCUUACACAAGACAAAACAAUGAUCUCCUUCUCAGAUCCUUGGAAUGCAUCUACAGUGGACACCUUGACAGCUUUAAUUUUGGAAAGCUUGUAAAAGGCACUGUGGAGAUGGAUCCAAGGACCAUUUCUUAUGCUUGGGUUAUUCAGAAAUUGAGAUGUUUCUACAAGAAGUAG
rnacentral:lncRNA from 1 species